rnacentral:rRNA from 1 species
UACGUAGGGGGCCAGCGUUGUCCGGAAUCAUUGGGCGUAAAGCGCGCGUAGGCGGUCAGGUAAGUCCGGUGUGAAAGUCAUAGGCUCAACCUAUGGAUGCCGCUGGAAACUGCCUGACUUGAGUCCGGGAGGGGCGAGUGGAAUUCCUGGUGUAGCGGUGAAAUGCGCAGAUAUCAGGAGGAACACCAAUGGCGAAAGCAGCUCUCUGGGACGGUACUGACGCUGAGACGCGAAAGCGUGGGGAGCGAACAGG